rnacentral:snRNA from 1 species
GCAGGGGCCGCGCGAACGCGUACCCCCUCUAUCAUAAAUUAUGACGUUCAUUCUCCCACUUGGGGAGAUGAUAGGCGAGCACAUCAACCAAGUGCAAUGUUGGUCACUAGCCUAGGCCAUGACCCUUCUUGA